CACCACCAGGAGUGGAGCCUGCGGCUUAAUUUGACUCAACACGGGAAACCUCACCCGGCCCGGACACGGACAGGAUUGACAGAUUGAUAGCUCUUUCUCGAUUCCGUGGGUGGUGGUGCAUGGCCGUUCUUAGUUGGUGGAGCGAUUUGUCUGGUUAAUUCCGAUAACGAACGAGACUCUGGCAUGCUAACUAGUUACGCGACCCCCGAGCGGUCGGCGUCCCCCAACUUCUUAGAGGGACAAGUGGCGUUCAGCCACCCGAGAUUGAGCAAUAACAGGUCUGUGAUGCCCUUAGAUGUCCGGGGCUGCACGCGCGCUACACUGACUGGCUCAGCGUGUGCCUACCCUACGCCGGCAGGCGCGGGUAACCCGUUGAACCCCAUUCGUGAUGGGGAUCGGGGAUUGCAAUUAUUCCCCAUGAACGAGGAAUUCCCAGUAAGUGCGGGUCAUAAGCUUGCGUUGAUUAAGUCCCUGCCCUUUGUACACACCGCCCGUCGCUACUACCGAUUGGAUGGUUUAGUGAGGCCC
rnacentral:rRNA from 1 species